rnacentral:rRNA from 1 species
UACGAAGGGGGCUAGCGUUGUUCGGAAUUACUGGGCGUAAAGCGUGCGCAGGCGGCUUCUCAAGUCAGGGGUGAAAGCCCAGAGCUCAACUCUGGAAUUGCCUUUGAGACUGAGUGGCUUGAGUACGAGAGAGGUGAGUGGAAUUCCCAGUGUAGAGGUGAAAUUCGUAGACAUUGGGAAGAACACCGGUGGCGAAGGCGGCUCACUGGCUCGUAACUGACGCUCAUGCACGACAGCGUGGGGAUCAAACGGG